GAUGAACGCUGGCGGCGUGCUUAACACAUGCGAGUCGAGCGAGAAGUUUUGAAAAGAUUCUUCGGAUGAAAUUUAAAAUGGAAAGCGGCGGACGGGUGAGUAACGCGUAGGCAACCUGCCCCAUACAAAGGGAUAGCAUUUGGAAACGAAUAUUAAUACCUUAUGAAACUUAACUAGUGCAUGCUAGGUAGGUCAAAGAUUUAUCGGUAUGGGAUGGGCCUGCGUCUGAUUAGCUAGUUGGUGAGGUAACGGCUCACCAAGGCGACGAUCAGUAGCCGACCUGAGAGGGUGAACGGCCACAUUGGAACGGAGACACGGUCCAAACUCCUACGGGAGGCAGCAGUGGGGAAUAUUGCACAAUGGGGGAAACCCUGAUGCAGCAACGCCGCGUGAACGAUGAAGGCCUUUGGGUCGUAAAGUUCUGUUCUAGGUGAUGAAAACUGACAGUAACCUAGGAGAAAGCCCCGGCUAACUCCGUG
rnacentral:rRNA from 1 species